rnacentral:rRNA from 1 species
AUAGAAUAUAGUAAUGUGAAUGAAAGGUUAAAAUUUAACAAAAAUAAAGAUAUGAAAAUAUGUUGAAACUCGAUGUUUUGAUGCUAAAGCUUAAGUUAUAGCGUACCUUUUGCAUAAUGAACUGAUGAGUUAAUUUGUUUAGCGAGCUUAUUUGAAAAGUAAGCAACCAAGUUAAUUUAAUUAGACCCGAAGCUAUUCGAUCUAACUAUGAAUAAGUUUAUUAAAAAUAAGACUGAACUCGUGAAUGUUGCAAAAUUCUGAGAUAAUUUGUGGUUAGGGGUGAAAGGCCAAUCAAGAAUAGUGAUAGCUGGCUCUCUGCGAAAACUAUUUUAGUAGUGUAUUUAAAAAUAAAUUAUAUAGGUAAAGUUAUUCUUUAAAGAAACAAUUAUUUAAAUAAGGAUAUUUUUUUUAAACUCAGAAUUAGAUAAUUUAAAUUAAAUACUCAGACUUAAACGCGCUAAGGUGUUAAGUCGAAAGGGAAACAGCCCAGAUCGAUAAUUAAGGUAUUUAAUAAAAUUUAAUAGUAAAAAUUAAAAUGUAAAAAAAUAUUAAAAGGUAAGCUUAGAAGCAGC